AUUGAACGCUGGCGGCAUGCUUUACACAUGCAAGUCGAACGGUAACAGGGAGCUUGCUCCGCUGACGAGUGGCGAACGGGUGAGUAAUAUAUCGGAACGUACCCAAGAGUGGGGGAUAACGUAGCGAAAGUUACGCUAAUACCGCAUACGAUCUAAGGAUGAAAGCAGGGGAUCUUCGGACCUUGUGCUCCUGGAGCGGCCGAUAUCUGAUUAGCUAGUUGGUGAGGUAAAGGCUCACCAAGGCGACGAUCAGUAGCUGGUCUGAGAGGACGACCGGCCACACUGGAACUGAGACACGGUCCAGACUCCUACGGGAGGCAGCAGUGGGGAAUUUUGGACAAUGGGCGCAAGCCUGAUCCAGCAAUGCCGCGUGAGUGAAGAAGGCCUUCGGGUUGUAAAGCUCUUUUGUCAGGGAAGAAACGGGAGUGGCUAAUAUCCAUUCCUAAUGACGGUACCUGAAGAAUAAGCACCGGCUAACUACGUGCCAGCCGCCGCCGUAA
rnacentral:rRNA from 1 species